UACGUAGGGGGCAAGCGUUGUCCGGAUUUAUUGGGCGUAAAGAGCGUGUAGGCGGCUAGAUAGGUCCGUUGUGAAAACUCGAGGCUCAACCUCGAGACGCCGGUGGAAACCAUCUAGCUAGAGUCCGGAAGAGGAGAGUGGAAUUCCUGGUGUAGCGGUGAAAUGCGCAGAUAUCAGGAGGAACACCGGUGGCGAAGGCGGGUCUCUGGGCCGAAAUUGACGCUGAGGAGCGAAAGCGUGGGGAGCAAACAGG
rnacentral:rRNA from 1 species